rnacentral:tRNA from 1 species
GCAAGCAUAGUUUUAAUUCAAACAUUAGACUGUGAUCCUAAAGAUAGAAGUUAAAAUCUUCUUGCUUGCC